rnacentral:rRNA from 1 species
CGAGGGUGCGAACGUUGCUCGGAUUUACUGGGCGUAAAGCGCGUGUAGGCGGACUCGCAAGUCGGUUGUGAAAUCCCUGGGCUCAACCUAGGAACUGCAUCCGAAACUGCUUGUCUUGAGUAAUGGAGAGGGUGGCGGAAUUCCCGGUGUAGAGGUGAAAUUCGUAGAUAUCGGGAGGAACAUCAGUGGCGAAGGCGGCCACCUGGACAUUUACUGACGCUGAGACGCGAAAGCGUGGGGAGCAAACAGGAUUAGAUACCCGAGUAGUCC